rnacentral:rRNA from 1 species
AACGAACGCUGGCGGCAUGCCUAACACAUGCAAGUCGAACGAGAUCUUCGGGUCUAGUGGCGCACGGGUGCGUAACGCGUGGGAAUCUGCCCUUUGGUUCGGAAUAACAGUUGGAAACGACUGCUAAUACCGGAUGAUGACGAAAGUCCAAAGAUUUAUCGCCAGAGGAUGAGCCCGCGUAGGAUUAGCUAGUUGGUGUGGUAAAGGCGCACCAAGGCGACGAUCCUUAGCUGGUCUGAGAGGAUGAUCAGCCACACUGGGACUGAGACACGGCGCAGACGCGUGCGGGAGGCAGCAGUGGGGAAUAUUGGACAAUGGGCGAAAGCCUGAUCCAGCAAUGCCGCGUGAGUGAUGAAGGCCUUAGGGUUGUAAAGCUCUUUUACCCGGGAUGAUAAUGACAGUACCGGGAGAAUAAGCUCCGGCUAACUCCGUGCCAGCCGCCGCCGUAA